rnacentral:rRNA from 1 species
AACGAACGCUGGCGGCAUGCCUAACACAUGCAAGUCGAACGAGACCUUCGGGUCUAGUGGCGCACGGGUGCGUAACGCGUGGGAACCUGCCCUUAGGUUCGGAAUAACUCCCCGAAAGGGGUGCUAAUACCGGAUAAUGUCUUCGGGCCAAAGAUUUAUCGCCUUUGGAUGGGCCCGCGUUGGAUUAGCUAGUUGGUAGGGUAAAAGCCUACCAAGGCGACGAUCCAUAGCUGGUCUGAGAGGAUGAUCAGCCGCACUGGGACUGAGACACGGCCCAGACUCCUACGGGAAGCAGCAGUGGGGAAUAUUGGACAAUGGGCGAAAGCCUGAUCCAGCAAUGCCGCGUGAGUGAUGAAGGCCUUAGGGUUGUAAAGCUCUUUUACCCGGGAUGAUAAUGACAGUACCGGGAGAAUAAGCUCCGGCUAACUCCGUG